rnacentral:rRNA from 1 species
AAUCAACGCUGGCGGCGUGCCUCAGACAUGCAAGUCGAACGAUUAAGACUCUCUUCGGAGAGUGUAUAAAGUGGCGCACGGGUGAGUAACACGUAGGUAAUGUACCGAAGGGUGGGGAAUAACUUAGGGAAACUUAAGCUAAUACCGCAUAAUACAGCGGCUCGACAUCGAGACAGUUGUUAAAGGAGCAAUCCGCCUUUUGAGCAGCCUGCGGCAGAUUAGCUAGUUGGUAAGGUAAUGGCUUACCAAGGCUACGAUCUGUAACCGACCUGAGAGGGUGGUCGGUCACACUGACACUGAAUAACGGGUCAGACUCCUACGGGAGGCAGCAGUCGGGAAUUUUGGGCAAUGGGCGAAAGCCUGACCCAGCAACGCCGCGUGAAGGAUGAAGUAUUUCGGUAUGUAAAGCUCUUUUACCAGGGAUGAUAAUGACAGUACCUGGAGAAUAAGCUCCGGCUAACUCCGUGCCAGCAGCCGCGGUAAU